rnacentral:lncRNA from 1 species
AUGUCUGGAAGCUUCCACUUGGUAAUUAGUGGCCACAAUGAUAAUCCAGUUUUUGAAAUGGAGUUUUUUCCCAGCUAGGAAAGUAGAAUCCAAAGACAACCGUCAUUACCCAUAGCUCAUGCUGUUUGCAACCUCAUAGAUAACAUGUGGCUGUCGAAAAACACGUACUUGAAAACUGUGGACAAGUGCAACAAGUGUUUUCUGUCGGCAUUCGUAACUCCAGGGCACAUACAUUUUUUUAUUAUGCUUCAUGACAUAAGGCAAGAAGAUAGAAUAAAGAACUACUUUACUGAUGUUUAGCAUUUACACAUAAAGUUUGCAAUGAAUCCAUUUUAUGAACCCAGUUCUCCUAUUUGAUCAUAUGCAUUUGACAGAAAAGUUCAGUUUCUUAGGAAAGGAAACACUUUUU